rnacentral:rRNA from 1 species
AGAGACAGCAGUAGCCACGGUAAUACGUAGGUGGCAAGCGUUGUCCGGAAUUAUUGGGCGUAAAGGGCUCGCAGGCGGUUUCUUAAGUCUGAUGUGAAAGCCCCCGGCUCAACCGGGGAGGGUCAUUGGAAACUGGGAAACUUGAGUGCAGAAGAGGAGAGUGGAAUUCCACGUGUAGCGGUGAAAUGCGUAGAGAUGUGGAGGAACACCAGUGGCGAAGGCGACUCUCUGGUCUGUAACUGACGCUGAGGAGCGAAAGCGUGGGGAGCGAACAGGAUUAGAUACCCGGGUAGUCCCUGUCUCUUAUAC